rnacentral:rRNA from 1 species
UACGUAGGGUGCAAGCGUUGUCCGGAAUUAUUGGGCGUAAAGAGCUCGUAGGCGGUUUGUCGCGUCUGCUGUGAAAAUCCAGGGCUUAACCCUGGACCUGCAGUGGGUACGGGCAGACUAGAGUGCGGUAGGGGAGAUCGGAAUUCCUGGUGUAGCGGUGAAAUGCGCAGAUAUCAGGAGGAACACCAGUGGCGAAGGCGCCACUCUGGGCCGUAACUGACGCUGAGGAGCGAAAGCGUGGGUAGCAAACAGG